UAACGUUCUAAAAAACAAAUUCUGGUGCUUUUUCAUUUUUUUGGAAUAGAAAUAGGAUGAAAACUGUAUGGUAUGUCCGGUUCAUUUUUUUGUUUUUUUUAAAUGAACCGGGCAUUUGGCAAGCUUUUGAGUCCCAUUUUUAGCACAACAAAUUGUUGCUUUUCACCUUCAGAAUCGAUUCUGAGAAAAAGGCGGAGAAACACAAGGUUAGUUUAAGUUACGAGGGGCAUAAUGGAAAUUUGCCACUUCAAACAUAACACAACCCUAAAUCGAUGAAUGCUUCAAUUGCACAACUCUUCUUUUUCUCCGAAGUCGAAGAUCUUGCGACCUGCAAAUGGUGAAAGAGAUCUGAUCUCAAAUGCGAAGGAUGAUCGGCGAAAGAGAUGUGUUCGUUGAUCGGUCGCAAACAUCGUCUAAUGUGAUUUCUUCGUUGGAUUCCAUAGAUUUAUUUGAAGGUUUUGUCUGUGUUGAAGUUUACUAAGCACAAUCAAAUGCUUGAAGAUUACAUAAAGUCUUUUAGAGAAGCAUUUGCUGUAUUUCAGCAUGCCAAAAUAUUUGAUGCUGGCACAAAGACAAUAAAACACAUAAAACCUCUAUCUGAAAAGAUUUUGCAAUCUCUAGAUGGCAAUCUGGAUUUCCUGGGACCAGACAUCCCUUCAUCAGUAGCAACUGCCACGGCUGAAGGUCGCUUAGAUCCAAUUACCAUGGAAGCCUUUGGUAACUCAAAGAAAGCUAAAAGUUGUCUGGACCCAAAUGUAACUCUAGCUUCUGAUCAAGUGCUAAGAGCGGAGACCCAGGUGGUGAUGUCUACGCAAGAGAGCUGCUUUUCCAUUUUUUGUUCUUGUGAAACAAGAGAUAAAAGGGAUACAUGCAAGCUUUCUUUUAAUCAUGCAACUUCAUAGUUUAUAGAGAAGCUUUUCCACUGUGUUGUAUACAGAGCAGAAGGUGACUUUGGAUAAGAGGAGCUAUUUGAAGGAAGCUGCUGCCCUUGAAAAACUAAUAGCCCCUUCAGAAUUCCACGAGAAAGUUGAUGACAUUGAAGAAAAAAGAGAAUUUCCAGACAACAACCCCCUCAAGAAAAGAAAAGUUGUUGAUUUUCAGUUGGAACAAAUGCAAACCACUACUGAACAAGCUUCAAAGGUGAUAGAUGUUGAAGAAUAAGAUAAGGUUAUAGAAAGAAGAGAGAUUCUCAAAAACCCAUUCAAGAAAGUAGAACUUGAUUCUCAGUUGGAGCAGAGACAGACAACCAUGGAGUUUCUCAAAAACUCUUUCAAGAAAGUAGAGUUUCUCAGAAACAUUUGUUUUGAUUCAUCUUUCUUUGGACUUUAUGAUGGAUAUUCUUUCUUCUUGCCCUUUGAAAUGUAAUCAUAAAAUUUUCAUAAAAUUUUCAUAUUUGAUAAAUGUUAUUAUCAUUACAAGUUCCUGCUUUAAUUGACUACUUUUGAUGAAGUGGGUGUUUACAUUUCCUUGCCCAUUUGUAAAUAAAGUCACUAAAUUAAACUGUUACGACUAGUGUGAUAUGUUAUUUCUUUAUAGCUACUAUUUACUUGUACUGGUCACAGCCUUGGACAAUUUCCUUCUUGUUCUUUUCCUAUUAUCUUCUGUUUGUUUAAGCCAAAUCAGUCCUAUCCCUUCUCCCACGAUCUUUCUUAGAAGUUCAGCUCUAGAAAUCUGAAAACAGGGUUGUCCAAUCCUAAAUCACUAUGACUUGA